ACCCGCACAAGCGGUGGAGGAUGUGGUUAAUUCGACGCAACGCGAAGAACCUUACCUAGGCUUGACAUGCUGGUGAAACCAUGGAACAUGGUCCUCCGUAAGGGACAUCAGUACAGGUGGUGCAUGGCUGUCGUCAGCUCGUGUCGUGAGAUGUUGGGUUAAGUCCCGCAACGAGCGCAACCCUUGUCUUUAGUUGCCAUCAUUAAGUUGGGCACUCUAAAGAGACUGCCGGUGUCAAACCGGAGGAAGGUGGGGAUGACGUCAAGUCCUCAUGGCCUUUAUGACCAGGGCUACACACGUACUACAAUGGCAGGUACAAAGGGCAGCCACUUAGUGAUAAGGCGCGAAUCCCGUAAAACCUGUCUCAGUCCGGAUUGGAGUCUGCAACUCGACUCCAUGAAGUUGGAAUCGCUAGUAAUCGCAGAUCAGCACGCUGCGGUGAAUACGUUCCCGGGCCUU
rnacentral:rRNA from 1 species